UUGACCCCAGCGGCCCGAAUCACGUGGUUUGGCGAUAUAAGCAAAACCCCGGCGGAGUGGCUUCAUUCAGUGGAGUAAAAUCCAGGGAAUUUUGUCAUGUUUCUGUCAGGGACAUGAAAUCCAGCUCACGGUUAAUGAGGAUAUCUUGGACAAUAUCUUACCCUUGGAUGUGAGGGAGCAAAUUUUCAGGAGACCGAAGUUGACAGAUAUGCGGGGGAGAUUGUUAGCCAUCAUGUUGUUAGCCGAGCGAGCAAGAGGAGCUAGUAGGACACUGUGUUAGCAUGGCGACCGGUGUGUCUUGACGGACGGUGAGCAGAUGACCAGAGUGACUUGAUGGAGUUGGUGUUGUCGUAAUGGAAGUUCCGACGUGAUCCUCGAUUAGUUUAUAUCUCCGGCGGGGCACGUAUAAUGUCUGGAAUCGGAUAUCAUGUUGGAGGAGCUAACACGCGGCGGUGGCCCGGGCGGAGAGUACCGCGGGUUAGCAAGUUCAUCAGCAGAGUUGUACUUGUAGUGCUGUCGAAAUUGGCUGGACAAGUGACAGAAACAACAUGCCGGACUGUCAGUAGCUCAGGAAGAAGCUGAAGAAGAAGAGAGGGCAGAGAGCGUAUGCCUGCCAGUGCAGCUGGUUCUCUGCUUCAGAGCCUGCUGACCUCAGGGAUCAGCCUCAGCUCCGAUGGGUCUGUGGCAAACACCCGGACUGACUGCUCACCUCAAUCUACUUUCUAAACUCUCCAUCCAUCCAUCCAUCCAUUUAUCCAUCCAUCCUUGAGACGUCGUUGUGAAAGGAAGAACUUAUCCUUGGCCUCUAUUGUCAGCAAGACUAAAAACAUUGUUUUCCAUCUAUCUGUCGAGGAGGAUUCUUGAAGCAUUUCCAGACUGUACAAAAAAUCUGAAUCUGUGCAUCUCACACCCAUUCAUCGAUGGCUGAUUUCAAAAUAUCUCUUCCUGCGUCUUCCUCUUUUUGGAAGAGGUAUUUGGACACAAAUAUCUGGAACUUCAAACUUUCUGAAAAUGUUGUGACUGCUGCCCAACUGUGACACAUUGUGAUUUUCUACUCCUGCUCUUUAAACAAAUCUGUCUCCUGCCUGUACUGGAAUAAAAUAUAUCUGAUGAGGAACAUGAAACAUUUUUUCUUUACAUUUCUAAAGCUUCUGAACUCCAGACGUUUAUUUUUUUUAUAUGUCUCAUAAACUUGAGCAUUUGAGUUUAAAAAUGGAGGUAGUGAAGAAAUGUCAAAAAUUAAAAGUUUUAUAUAAUCUUUUUAGCUUCUGCUUCUUAUUGGAAACUUUCAGUGUUGACAGUGUAAUAGAUUUUGUAAUUUUAGUUCAAUUAAAAACUAUUGGCACUUUCCUAUAAAGUUCUUGGAUUUACCUUAUAGGAGUUUGGCCUGCAGACAGAAUGGUUCCUUCCAGUCCGGUCAACUAAGAAAUAAAACACAAAUAAAACUACAUUAAAUAUUUUUCAUUUAGUUCAUUUUCAUUCUCUCAGUCCAAGGUAUUUUUGAUGUAUUUUAAAUUUGUACAUUUUCUGAAACAGAUAUAUGGAGUUUGCAUUCUUCUGAUUGUCGAAUAAUAAAUUCCUCAUGUUGAGCCCCUGAA